AUCCGUCUGAAGAGUCCCAAAUAAGAUGAAACACGCGUCCUGGAU
rfam:Schistosoma haematobium scaffold1070_18, whole genome shotgun sequence.